GACGUAGGGCGCGAGCGUUGUCCGGAUUUAUUGGGCGUAAAGAGCUCGUAGGUGGCCUGUCGCGUCGGCUGUGAAAACUCGGGGCUCAACUCCGAGCUUGCAGUCGAUACGGGCAGGCUAGAGUUCGGCAGGGGAGACUGGAAUUCCUGGUGUAGCGGUGAAAUGCGCAGAUAUCUAGGGGAACACCAAAAGCGAAGGCAAGAGACUGGACCACUCCUGACGCUGAAGCACGAAAGCGUGGGUCGCGAAUGGG
rnacentral:rRNA from 1 species